AGCGAACGCUGGCGGCAGGCCUAACACAUGCAAGUCGAACGGACCUUUCGGGGUUAGUGGCGGACGGGUGAGUAACACGUGGGAACGUGCCUUUAGGUUCGGAAUAGCUCCUGGAAACGGGUGGUAAUGCCGAAUGUGCCCUUAGGGGGAAAGAUUUAUCGCCUUUAGGGCGGCCCGCGUCUGAUUAGCUAGUUGGUGAGGUAAUGGCUCACCAAGGCUACGAUCAGUAGCUGGUCUGAGAGGAUGACCAGCCACAUUGGGACUGAGACACGGCCCAAACUCCCACGGGAGGCAGCAGUGGGGAAUCUUGCGCAAUGGGCGAAAGCCUGACGCAGCCAUGCCGCGUGGAUGAUGAAGGUCUUAGGAUUGUAAAAUCCUUUCACCGGUGAAGAUAAUGACUGUAGCCGGAGAAGAAGCCCCGGCUAACUUCGUGCCAGCAGCCGCUGUAA
rnacentral:rRNA from 1 species